rnacentral:rRNA from 1 species
ACACGUAGGGGGCGAGCGUUAUCCGGAAUUACUGGGCGUAAAGAGUGCGUAGGUGGCUUUGCAAGCGUAGGGUAUAAGGCGACAGCCCAACUGUCGUUGGCCCCGCGAACUGUAAGGCUUGAGUACAGGAGGGGAAGGCGGAAUUCCUAGUGUAGCGGGGAAAUGCGUAGAUAUUAGGAGGAACACCAGUGGCGAAGGCGGCCUUCUGGACUGUAACUGACACUGAGGCACGAAAGCGUGGGUAGCAAACAGGAUUAGAUACCCUGGUAGUCCACGCCGUAAGCGAUGAGCACUAGGUGUCGGGCUCGCAAGAGUUCGGUGCCGGAGCAAACGCAUUAAGUGCUCCGCCUGGGGAGUACGCACGCAAGUGUGAAACUCAAAUGAAUUGGCGGGG